UACGAAGGGGGCUAGCGUUGUUCGGAAUUACUGGGCGUAAAGGGCGCGUAGGCGGUACUUCAAGUCAGGCGUGAAAGCCCCGGGCUCAACCUGGGAACCGCGCUUGAGACUGGAGAACUAGAGUUCGGGAGAGGAUGGUGGAAUUCCCAGUGUAGAGGUGAAAUUCGUAGAUAUUGGGAGGAACACCAGUGGCGAAGGCGGUCCCCUGGGCCGGAACUGACGCUGAGGCGCGAAAGCGUGGGUAGCAAACGGG
rnacentral:rRNA from 1 species